rnacentral:rRNA from 1 species
GACGAACGCUGGCGGCGUGCCUAACACAUGCAAGUCGAACGAGACCUUCGGGUCUAGGGGCGCACGGGUGCGUAACGCGUGGGAACCUGCCCUUAGGUUCGGAAUAACUCCCCGAAAGGGGUGCUAAUACCGGAUAAUGUCUUCGGACCAAAGAUUUAUCGCCUUUGGAUGGGCCCGCGUUGGAUUAGCUAGUUGGUAGGGUAAAAGCCUACCAAGGCGACGAUCCAUAGCUGGUCUGAGAGGAUGAUCAGCCACACUGGGACUGCGACACGGCCCAGACUCCUACGCGAGGGAGCAGUGGGGAAUAUUGGACAAUGGGCGAAAGCCUGAUCCAGCAAUGCCGCGUGAGUGAUGAAGGCCUUAGGGUUGUAAAGCUCUUUUACCCGGGAUGAUAAUGACAGUACCGGGAGAAUAAGCUCCGGCUAACUCCGUG